GAUGAACGCUGGCGGCGUGCCUAAUACAUGCAAGUCGAGCGAACAGACGAGGAGCUUGCUCCUCUGACGUUAGCGGCGGACGGGUGAGUAACACGUGGAUAACCUACCUAUAAGACUGGGAUAACUUCGGGAAACCGGAGCUAAUACCGGAUAAUAUAUUGAACCGCAUGGUUCAAUAGUGAAAGACGGUUUUGCUGUCACUUAUAGAUGGAUCCGCGCCGCAUUAGCUAGUUGGUAAGGUAACGGCUUACCAAGGCAACGAUGCGUAGCCGACCUGAGAGAGUGAUCGGCCACACUGGAACUGAGACACGGUCCAGACUCCUACGGGGGGCAGCAGUAGGGAAUCUUCCGCAAUGGGCGAAAGCCUGACGGAGCAACGCCGCGUGAGUGAUGAAGGUCUUCGGAUCGUAAAACUCUGUUAUUAGGGAAGAACAAAUGUGUAAGUAACUAUGCACGUCUUGACGGUACCUAAUCAGAAAGCCACGGCUAACUACGUG
rnacentral:rRNA from 1 species